rnacentral:lncRNA from 1 species
AUUAGCAGAUUGAAAACCUCGCUUACUUAUAGGGCCAAUCUCUAUAAGUGUGAGAAGGUUGCCAUAUCCUGGACUCAUGAUUUUGCAUCAUAGCAUGAUAACUAAAGUGAUAUCAGAGUAUCCGUCAGAUCUUUAAGUUUUAAUUUAGGUCUUAGAAUAUGAUGUGGGAUGAGUGUACGUAAGCAGGUAGUCAGUAGAUACACAUUUCCAGGCUACCUACUUUACGAUAAGUGGUUAAAUAUUCUUGCACCCCA